UCCGGUUUGACACCGGCAGUCUCCCUAGAGUGCCCGGCUUUACCCGCUGGUAACUAGGGACAAGGGUUGCGCUCGUUGCGGGACUUAACCCAACACCUCACGGCACGAGCUGACGACAGCCGUGCAGCACCUGUGCAGGCUCCCGAAGGAGCCCCGGCUUUCACCGGGUUUACCCUGCAUGUCAAGCCCUGGUAAGGUUCUUCGCGUUGCGUCGAAUUAAACCACAUGCUCCACCGCUUGUGCGGGCCCCCGUCAAUUCCUUUGAGUUUCAGCCUUGCGGCCGUACUCCCCAGGCGGGGCACUUAAUGCGUUAGCGCCGGCACUCGGAGGGUCGCUCCCCCAAGCACCUAGUGCCCAUCGUUUACGGCGUGGACUAC
rnacentral:misc_RNA from 1 species